rnacentral:lncRNA from 1 species
UUUUCCCUAACUUUUGCGUGGAACGGUUCUUUUGAACUCUCAAUCCACCGGGAUGCCCUAAUUUUUGCCUAAGUCACCAUCUUGGUGUUCGACUUAGCAGGCUCUUUGUCUUUUUUUUCUUUUUCAACUGAUUAGGACUGCCAUGUCAUUGGUUUAUUGAGGAAUAACCACAAUAUCUUUCGAUUUUUAUGUUUGAUUCGACACUUCUUGAUGUGUGAAGAAAAG